rnacentral:rRNA from 1 species
AGUGAAGCGGCAACAGCUCAAAUUUGAAAUCUGGUCACCUUACGGAGGCCCGAGUUGUAAUUUGAAGAGGAUGCUUUUGGCGAGGUGCCUUCCGAGUGCCCUGGAACGGGACGCCACAGAGGGUGAGAGCCCCGUAUGGUUGGACACCGAGCCUAUGUAAAGCUCCUUCGACGAGUCGAGUAGUUUGGGAAUGCUGCUCAAAAUGGGAGGUAAACCCCUUCUAAAGCUAAAUAUUGGCCAGAGACCGAUAGCGCACAAGUAGAGUGAUCGAAAGAUGAAAAGCACUUUGAAAAGAGAGUUAAACAGCACGUGAAAUUGUUGAAAGGGAAGCGCUUGCGACCAGACUUGCGCCCGUCGGAUCAACCGUCGCUUGUCGGCGGCGCACUCCGGCGGGCUCAGGCCAGCAUCAGUUUUCCCGGGGGGAGAAAGGCGGUGGGAAUGUAGCUCCUAGGAGUGUUAUAGCCCGCCGCGUAAUACCCUCGGGGGGA